rnacentral:rRNA from 1 species
AACGUAGGGGACAAGCGUUAUCCGGAUUUACUGGGCGUAAAGCGCCCGUAGGCGGCUUUUUAAGUUGGACGUGAAAGCUCCCGGCUUAACUGGGAGAGGCCGUUCAAAACUGAGAGGCUAGAGUGAGGCAGAGGAGCGCGGAAUUCCCGGUGUAGUGGUGGAAUGCGUAGAUAUCGGGAGGAACACCAGUGGCGAAGGCGGGUCUCUGGGCCGAUACUGACGCUGAGGAGCGAAAGCGUGGGGAGCGAACAGG